UAACUGUGACGGUUAGCUAAGUGGGAGCGUAGCCAAUGAAUUCUGGCCUGGUCUUCGAACGUGUUCGCGCGUUCGAACCUGCGGCUGGACAAGAUUGCAUUAAAGUGGCCUGUCGUUCUAGGCGGGCUGCGCUUCACGCUACUUAGAGGCCUCAUCAGAGGCCAUCGUGAUCUAUCUGGAUCGACGUGUCCUGUUUAUUAUCGAUUCUUGCGGGCCCGCGGUGUCUGGUGGUGAGAGAAGUCCACCACCGGCCCAGCAGUAAUGGUUGGGCUCUAGGCUCUUUGCUCUCAUCGCUGAAGGGGAGUUUAAUCCAGCACAGCAAGAGCAGCCCGUGGGAAGGCGGGCGGGAUGGCACGUCUCCAGUCCGGUGUUCCAAUGGGUGUUGUCCGUUGGCUCCGUGGGUCACUCGGUAGAUUCGAGCUUCGCAACCGCGGUU
rnacentral:SRP_RNA from 1 species